rnacentral:snRNA from 1 species
UUUGUCCAUAGGUUUGGAAUAU